rnacentral:rRNA from 1 species
CCAAUAGCGUAUAUUAAAGUUGUUGCAGUUAAAAAGCUCGUAGUUGAACUUCAGGCCUGUCCAGAUGGUCCGCCUUAAUUGGUGUGUACUGUCCUUGGGUGGGUCCUACCUUCUGGCGAAGCGGCAUGGCCUUAAUUGGUUGUGUUGGGGAACCAGGACUUUUACUGUGAAAAAAUUAGAGUGUUCAAAGCAGGCAAAUAUGCUCGAAUACAUUAGCAUGGAAUAAUGGAAUAGGACGAUGGUUCUAUUUUGUUGGUUCUAGGACCGUUGUAAUGAUUAAUAGGGAUAGUAGGGGGCAUUAGUAUUCAAUUGUCAGAGGUGAAAUUCUUGGAUUUAUUGAAGACUAACUACUGCGAAAGCAUUUGCCAAGGAUGUUUUCAUUAAUCAAGAACGAAAGUUAGGGGAUCGAAGACGAUCAGAUACCGUCGUAGUCUUAACCAUAAACUAUGCCGACUAGGAAUCGGGCGAUGUUGACAAAAUGACUCGCUCGGCACCUCAUG